CGUGUAGGCGGUUUGGUAAGUGGGACGUGAAAUCCCUCGGCUCACCCGAGGACCUGCGUCCCAUACUGCCAGGCUAGAGUACGGGAGAGGAUGAAGGAAUUCCUGGUGUAGCGGUGAAAUGCGUAGAUAUCAGGAGGAACACCGGUGGCGAAGGCGUUCAUCUGGCCCGAUACUGACGCUGAGGCGCGAAAGCUAGGGGAGCAAACG
rnacentral:rRNA from 1 species